rnacentral:sRNA from 1 species
GGCUGCUGCAGCCCGGGCGGCUGCGGAGAAGGAGGGAGGGGAAACACAAAGCCGGCUACGCGCUGCGAGAUAACAAGAGUAAUCCACAGACUUAAAACAUGAGCUCAGAUGCCAGCCAAGGCGUGAUUACCACUCCUCCUCCUCCCAGCAUGCCUCACAAAGAGAGAUAUUUUGACCGCAUCAAUGAAAAUGACCCAGAAUACAUUAGGGAGAGGAACAUGUCUCCUGAUCUACGACAAGACUUCAACAUGAUGGAGCAGAGGAAACGAGUUACUCAGAUCCUGCAAAGUCCUGGCCAGUGGUAUUCUAUUUCCAAAUGAGUACAUUUCUUAAUGGAGAAAUUCUAAGCCUUUCGGGAAGACUUGGAAUGCCUUAUUCAAGAACAGAUGAAGAAAGGCCACAACCCAACUGGAUUACUAGCAUUACAGCAGAUUGCAGAUUACAUCAUGGCCAAUUCUUUCUCGGGUUUUUCUUCACCUCCUCUCAGUCUUGGCAUGGUCACACCUAUCAAUGACCUUCCUGGUGCAGAUACAUCCUCAUAUGUGAAGGGAGAAAAACUUACUCGCUGUAAACUUGCCAGCCUGUACAGACUUGUAGACUUGUUUGGAUGGGCACACCUGGCAAAUACCUAUAUCUCAGUAAGAAUAAGUAAGGAGCAAGACCACAUUAUAAUAAUUCCCAGAGGCCUAUCUUUUUCUGAAGCUACAGCCUCCAAUUUGGUGAAAGUCAAUAUAAUAGGAGAAGUGGUUGACCAGGGAAGUAC